UCGGGAAUAUUGCGCAAUGGAGGAAACUCUGACGCAGUGACGCCGCGUGCAGGAAGAAGGUUUUCGGAUUGUAAACUGCUUUAGACAGGGAAGAAACAAGACAGUACCUGUAGAAUAAGCUCCGGCUAACUACAUGCCAGCAGCCGCGGUAAUACGUAGGGAGCAAGCGUUAUCCGGAUUUAUUGGGUGUAAAGGGUGCGUAGACGGGAAUGCAAGUUGGUUGUGAAAUCCCUCGGCUCAACCGAGGAAUUGCAACCAAAACUAUAUUUCUUGAGUGCUGGAGAGGAAAGUGGAAUUCCUAGUGUAGCGGUGAAAUGCGUAGAUAUUAGGAGGAACACCAGUGGCGAAGGCGACUUUCUGGACAGUAACUGACGUUGAGGCACGAAAGUGCGGGGAGCAAACAGGAUUAGAUACCC
rnacentral:rRNA from 1 species